rnacentral:tRNA from 1 species
AUCCCCAAAAAGUCUAUUUUACUCCUCUAUUUAUCUUAUCCUUUUUUCUUUU